rnacentral:rRNA from 1 species
GAUGAACGCUGGCGGCGUGCCUAAUACAUGCAAGUCGAGCGAACAGACGAGGAGCUUGCUCCUCUGACGUUAGCGGCGGACGGGUGAGUAACACGUGGAUAACCUACCUAUAAGACUGGGAUAACUUCGGGAAACCGGAGCUAAUACCGGAUAAUAUAUUGAACCGCAUGGUUCAAUAGUGAAAGACGGUUUUGCUGUCACUUAUAGAUGGAUCCGCGCCGCAUUAGCUAGUUGGUAAGGUAACGGCUUACCAAGGCAACGAUGCGUAGCCGACCUGAGAGGGUGAUCGGCCACACUGGAACUGAGACACGGUCCAGACUCCUACGGGAGGCAGCAGUAGGGAAUCUUCCGCAAUGGGCGAAAGCCUGACGGAGCAACGCCGCGUGAGUGAUGAAGGUCUUCGGAUCGUAAAACUCUGUUAUUAGGGAAGAUCAAAUGUGUAAGUAACUAUGCACGUCUUGACGGUACCUAAUCAGAAAGCCGCGGCUAACUACGUG